GACGAACGCUGGCGGCGUGCCUAAUACAUGCAAGUUGAGCGAUGAAGAUUGGUGCUUGCACCAAUUUGAAGAGCAGCGAACGGGUGAGUAACGCGUGGGGAAUCUGCCUUUGAGCGGGGGACAACAUUUGGAAACGAAUGCUAAUACCGCAUAACAACUUUAAACAUAAGUUUUAAGUUUGAAAGAUGCAAUUGCAUCACUCAAAGAUGAUCCCGCGUUGUAUUAGCUAGUUGGUGAGGUAAAGGCUCACCAAGGCGAUGAUACAUAGCCGACCUGAGAGGGUGAUCGGCCACAUUGGGACUGAGACACGGCCCAAACUCCUACGGGAGGCAGCAGUAGGGAAUCUUCGGCAAUGGACGAAAGUCUGGCCGAGCAACGCCGCGUGAGUGAAGAAGGUUUUCGGAUCGUAAACCUCUGUUGGUAGAGAAGAACGUUGGUGAGAGUGGAAAGCUCAUCAAGUGACGGUAACUACCCAGAAAGGGACGGCUAACUACGUG
rnacentral:rRNA from 1 species